GUCCAGCAAAGAUGCGCUGCUCCCUCACCUUUUGCAGGACAACCACGCUCAGCACGCCGGCCGCGAGGACCAGCAGCAGCAGGAACGCGUAGGGGAGCUUCCUGCCGGCGUUGGCCAUGGCGUAGCUCUUUGAUCGGUACUUGCUCCCAUCCAUCUCUACUACCUAUGCCCACCGCGCUCGCUCUUGUUCACCGUUAACAGCCUUCCUUCCCCUGCUUCCUUGCAGGAUCCUGGCCUUGUUUGCUGCCGAAAUGUGAAUGAGCUGGAGCUACAGCUUUUUUCCUCGGGUUUCUUGGGUUUGGGAAUGGAAGGGCUUUGCAGAGUCUCUUGUGCAUGGAGGUCAGUGAUGGUCUACACUACUCAUAUGCCAAUGCACAUGAUCUUGAAGUACUAGCCUAUUUUAUUUUUAAAUUCUGAGCCAUGGAAUCAAUCAACAAGAUGACAAUGCAGCAUUGACUUGCACUUACCGGAAGAGGAUUUUUGACUGCAAGGGAGAAGCAGCUACUAACUACCAACAGCUGGACUGGGAAAUGCUCUGGACUGUCCGAUCACGCAUCAGACGGUCCAGGGAGAGCGCCCUGGUGGUUGGAGCUUGAGCAAGGGAUUACCGGACCGACAGUUCCAAGGCUUAAGCAGAUCACCGAAUUCUG
rnacentral:lncRNA from 1 species